GCGUGAGCGAAGAAGGCCUUCGGGUCGUAAAGCUCUGUUGUUAGGGAAGAACAAGUACGAGAGUAACUGCUCGUACCUUGACGGUACCUAACCAGAAAGCCACGGCUAACUACGUGCCAGCAGCCGCGGUAAUACGUAGGUGGCAAGCGUUGUCCGGAAUUAUUGGGCGUAAAGCGCGCGCAGGCGGUCCUUUAAGUCUGAUGUGAAAGCCCACGGCUCAACCGUGGAGGGUCAUUGGAAACUGGGGGACUUGAGUGCAGAAGAGGAGAGUGGAAUUCCACGUGUAGCGGUGAAAUGCGUAGAGAUGUGGAGGAACACCAGUGGCGAAGGCGACUCUCUGGUCUGUAACUGACGCUGAGGCGCGAAAGCGUGGGGAGCAAACAGGAUUAGAUACCCUGGUAGUCCACGCCGUAAACGAUGAGUGCUAAGUGUUAGAGGGUUUCCGCCCUUUAGUGCUGCAGCUAACGCAUUAAGCACUCCGCCUGGGGAGUACGGCCGCAAGGCUG
rnacentral:rRNA from 1 species